rnacentral:misc_RNA from 1 species
CAACCCUCAAGCCUGGCUUGGUGUUGGGGCACUGCCUGUGAAAGGGCAGGCCCUGAAAUAUAGUGGCGAGCUCGCCAGGACUCCGAGCGCAGUAGUACGUCUCGUUCUGGAAGGCCUGGCGGUGCCCUGCCGUUAAACCCCAACUUUUGAAA